rnacentral:rRNA from 1 species
CCUACGGGUGGCAUCAGUGAGGAAUAUUGGUCAAUGGCCGGAAGGCUGAACCAGCCAUGCCGCGUGAAGGUCAGUGCCCUAUGGGCGUUAAACUUCUUUUGUGCGGGAGCAAUAAUGGUCACGUGUGGCCAGACGAGAGUACCGUACGAAUAAGCAUCGGCUAACUCCGUGCCAGCAGCCGCGGUAAUACGGGGGAUGCAAGCGUUAUCCGGAUUUAUUGGGUUUAAAGGGUGCGUAGGCUGUGAGGUAAGUCAGCGGUGAAAUGCCCCCGCUCAACGGGGUGAAGUGCCAUUGAUACUGCCUGGCUGGAAUGCGGAUGCCGUGGGAGGAAUGUGUGGUGUAGCGGUGAAAUGCAUAGAUAUCACACAGAACACCGAUUGCGAAGGCAUCUCACGAAUCCGCGAUUGACGCUGAUGCACGAAAGCGUGGGUAUCAAACAGGAUUAGAUACCCUAGUAGUC